GACGAACGCUGGCGGCGUGCUUAACACAUGCAAGUCGAACGGAAAGGCCCUGCUUGCUGGGUACUCGAGUGGCGAACGGGUGAGUAACACGUGGGUGCUCUGCCCUGCACUUCGGGAUAAGCCUGGGAAACUGGGUCUAAUACCGGAUAGGAGCCAUUUCUAGUGUGAUGGUUGGAAAGUUUUUUCGGUGUAGGACGAGCUCGCGGCCUAUCAGCUUGUUGGUGGGGUAAUGGCCUACCAAGGCGGCGACGGGUAGCCCGCCUGGGGGGGUGGAAGGCCAUCUUGGGGCCGAGGGGAGGCCCAAGCGGCGAAGGGUGGCCAGUGGGGGGAAUAUUGCACAAUCGGCGCAAGCCUGAUGCAGCGGCGCCGCGGGUGGGAUGACGGCCUUCGGGUUGUAAACUACUUUCGCGAGGGACGAAGCUUUUUGUGACGGUACCUAGAGAAGAAGCACCGGCUAACUACGUG
rnacentral:rRNA from 1 species